GGAUAUAUUCGGAACAUCUUCUCGCCUGCUUUGCACGCAGGAGGUCAGCGGUUCGAUCCCGCUAGUCUCCACCA
rnacentral:tRNA from 1 species